CAAAAAGUGAUAGCUAUCAGCAUGUAACUAUGUCAGGUUGUUCGCAAUUCGCUACUACCAUCUGACCAUCUACCGUUGUUGUUUUCUAUCCUCCUGCAGUCAUUUUUAACCAUAAUCCACCAUCGAUCAUACACCCUUCCGACCUUGCCAGACUGCUGUUGCUGUUUCGCGAUGAUCGCUCCCCUCUGCUCGGAAAAUAGGCUUACUCGGCGGCUUCUCGAUGAUCCGUCAACUAUCGUAGAGUAGGUGAAGUCAGAUGUCUGCAGCCAAGCGACAAGCGGUCGCAUUGGAUUACGACGUAUAGGCGUCAGAAGUGUCGAUCAGAGUCGGAUGGCAAUCUGCAGAAGACUAUAUGGACCUGGACAAUUUUGCAGGCCAAGCAAAACGGAAGUACAUGACUGUUAUAAGACUUUCUGCACCCCUGUUCCAUCUCGCCCACAACUUGCCCUUGCGAGACUAGUCAUGGUCAUCACAGCAAUCAGAAGGCAUGCAAAAGUUGAAUACCCA
rnacentral:sRNA from 1 species